rnacentral:rRNA from 1 species
CGUGCUUAACACAUGCAAGUUGGGCGAGGAUAGUUUGAGGAGACAUAUGUUGAAUUGAAUCGUUCGAGCAGCGGACGGGUGAGUAAAGCACAAGGACUUGUCCGAAAGAGAGGGACACCUUCGGGAAACCGGAGCUAAUACCUCAUAAGCCGGAAGGUGAAAAGCAGAGAUGCGCUUUUGGAGAGACUUGUGUCCUAUCAGGCAGUUGGUGAGGUGAAAGCUCACCAAACCGAAGACGGGUAGCCGGACUGAGAGGUCGACCGGCCACAUUGGAACUGAGAGACGGUCCAGACUCCUACGGGAGGCAGCAGUGGGGAAUAUUGGGCAAUGGGCGGAAGCCUGACCCAGCGACGCCGCGUGAGGGAAGACAGCCUUCGGGUUGUAAACCUCUGUUGCAGGGGAAGAAGGAAGUGACGGUACCCUGCGAGGAAGCUCCGGCUAACUACGUGCCAGCAGCCGCGGUAAUACGUAGGGAGCGAGCGUUGUCCGGAAUUACUGGGCGUAAAGGGCGCGUAGGCGGCGCUUCAAGUCGUCUGUCAAAUGGAAGGGCUUAACCCUUUUUCGCAGACGAAACUGGAGAGCUUGAGAAGCAGAGAGGCAAACAGAAUUCCUG